UUCUGACUGUUGAAGGGGAUGCGGACUCUGUAGGCGUCCCUACAUCCCGCCAGAACCUGCUAAACUGGAGCAAGCUGGACAGCGCGAUGAUACAGCACCUGAUCUCUGUGCUUUCACAAAGCUAGACAUCAGUGACGAUGCAAACGUUGAAAAAGUCCUGCUGAAGAGGCUGCGCCCGGAUACUAACGAUUCAGGCUUGCAGUUCGACGGGGACCUGCUUAAAGGUCUUUUUACAAAAGACAAGUUUGAAGGGAGGUCCUUCUUUGGGCGGCCUUCAAAUGCCUUCCACCGAAGGAUCCGUUGGAUUCCAAGAAGGUCAACGCCAUACUCAGGUACACAACCCAACAUUUCGGUGUCUCCCAGGGCAGCUGAAGAACUCGUUGUCCGCAUUACUAGCCUGGGGAUAUCAAAUUUAUGUGUCCAAGCACACAUGUAAACCUGUCUUCUGUUGCAUGCCACGCCUAGCCACUUGGCAACGUGUAACACCUGACUUUGUUUAGUGGCUGCUUCUACGAGGGAAACAAUUCCUUUUUGGGACGACAACGGCAAUGUACUGAGAUUCCGGACAACUGGUUGGAAUUUCCCGAGUGUGAACACUUGCACAUGGUACCGACGUGAGGGCUGUAAUAACACCGGGGUCAAACUAUCGCCCUGGUACUAUUUUGUUGAGCAGGAACGAAAGAAAGAUGAUUCUUGGUUGCCCAAGUAUUAUUGGACAUUUGGCGAAAAUGAUUCUAUGUGGAGAUACGAUGAGCAAGGUUUGGAGGUAGAGUAUUUGUUUUAUAAAGAAAACGAUAGCAGCUGUGCUGUUAUUGAACAUCGCUACUACAUGUUUGAAGACGGGCCGGAGAUAUGAACUAGGGCCGGGAUGUAUGAAGGCACCAGAUGCUGGAGACUGCAAAAUAGAUCACUUGUAUUACGACCUGCUGUUGAGUGAAAAUAAGAGUAUUGUGCCCCCAAAAUGUGAAGAAUUCUUUCAAACCAAAAAAGGCGACAACCGAGAGAGUAAAAAUGAUGGGAUCGAUACCUGCAAGCCCAAAAUAAAGUGACCAACUCAACACUGCGCACUCACAAGAAAGAAAGCUAAAUUUUUCUGAAGCUCUUUGGACAUACACAAGAUAGCAUAUUUGUAACAUUCUUAUAAAAUGGCAAUUAUACUGCUACCAUUAUCAGAGAUGGCUACAAAGAAACUUCUAUAAUAAAGAGGAAGUCCACUUGA